UACGAACUGUGCGAACGUUAUUCGGAAUCACUGGGCUUAAAGGGCGCGUAGGCGGGCGCACAAGUCAGGGGUGAAAGCCCACGGCUCAACCGUGGAAGUGCCUUUGAUACUGUGUGUCUUGAGGGAGGUAGGGGCGUGCGGAACUUCCGGUGGAGCGGUGAAAUGCGUAGAUAUCGGAAGGAACACCGGUGGCGAAGGCGGGUCUCUGGGCCGAUACUGACGCUGAGGAGCGAAAGCGUGGGGAGCGAACAGG
rnacentral:rRNA from 1 species